GGGGUUGUGGCUCAGUGGUAGAGUGCUCGCCUAGCAUGUGUGAGGCCCUGGGUUUGAUUCUCAGCACCA
rnacentral:tRNA from 1 species